AUCCUCUAUUCCUAUCUCUGUCUUCUUCCUUCCUUCCUCUUUUUCCUUUUCAUUUUCUCUCCUUUCAUCUCUCGUCCUCUACCUCUCUGCAAGGGAAACCGCAACUAAUGAGCAACAUCGAUGCCUACACUACAGUUCUCGACAUCGUCCGCACCACCCUCAGCCCUCGCGGAAAGCGAUUCAUGCCUCCACUUUCUCUCACUGAUCUGGUGUUUGGUGGUGUGGUGGAGGCUUUGACGGGUUUCAGAGGUGGUGGGUCGUGGUGUUUGGCCCGUGGUUUUGUGUUUUGUGAAGGAUAUUUUUUCUGCUCAAGUUACAACAAUGGCUUUCUUUGGUAGAAUUGGGAAUUUGUUACGACAGACAGCGAGCAGACAGGUUAGUUCAUAAUUGUUUUCAUCCCCUUUGUUUUUUCAGGCUAUACGUUGUAUGUUAUCUGCUCCAAGCACAAAACUGUUUAUUGGAGGUGCGUUUGAACUUUAUUUUGAGCUGGAUGCUUUUUAUGGUUUUUUUUAUUCUUUAUCUUUUUUGAUAAUAAUGAUUUGUGUACAUAUUUGUUUGUCACGGGUGUUUCAUAUUCUACUGGCGUUGUUAAUGGUAAAUAGUUAGAUUCUCUUUUUUUUUUUUUUUUUUUUACUUUUGGUGUCUUUAACAAGUUGGUUUCCAGGGGGAGUCAAUGAAAUUAUGUUGACAUAUUUUAUGUUUCCCUUGAAUGUCACGCUCUUUGUAGCUAGGAUAAUUAUGGAUCGUGAAACUGGUAGAUCCAGAGGAUUUGGCUUUGUUACAUACACUUCGGAUGAGGAGGCAUCAAGUACCAUUCAGGCCUUGGAUGGUUAGGUAACAGACGGUUUGUUUUUAGUGUUAUAAUCUUGCGAGUGGCAUUGGUUGUUAUGGUUGUUGCAAAAUCAUCGUGUUUGAACUUUUAACACCUACCAAUAGCUUCAAAUGAAUGAAGUACGCACUACGCAGUAUGCAUGUGUGCAUGCUAUGCUAAUUUUGUUUACUUAACAGUGUUUUGAACUUGGCAAGCUUUUAAAGUGUUCUCGUGGUGGACAUGAUGUGACAUAAUAAUGCAGUUUUCAGUUGGAGAAGAUGAGGUUGUGAUGACCACAUCAGGUGAUGCGGACCCAUAUUCAAAUCCGAUGUUUUAAAAUAUGUAGUUGUUUCAAGUAAAAUACAUGUCAAUAUGAGCUUUAUUUUACGAUACAUAUAUUUUGGAUGAUAUCUAUGAAGAUUGUCAUCAUUGGCUAAUACUAUUGUCUUCUGGAAUCAUCAUUUCAUUGUGCCCUUACCUGCUCACUUUUCUUACUAAUUAUCAUAGUUGUCUAUAGCACACCAAAUAACAGUGCUAUCACAGAAUCAAGAAGCUCUGCUUGGUAGAAUGUUAUAUAUUUGUCAGCAUAGAAAACAGAGAAAAUAAAUGACAAACUUAUGUUACUUGUCAA